UACGUAGGGGGCGAGCGUUGUCCGGAUUUAUUGGGCGUAAAGAGCGUGUAGGCGGCCAGGUAGGUCUGCUGUGAAAACUCGAGGCUCAACCUCGAGACGUCGGCGGAAACCAUCUGGCUAGAGUCCGGAAGAGGAGAGUGGAAUUCCUGGUGUAGCGGUGAAAUGCGCAGAUAUCAGGAAGAACACCCGUGGCGAAGGCGGCUCUCUGGGCCGAUAUUGACGCUGAGGAGCGAAAGCGUGGGGAGCGAACAGG
rnacentral:rRNA from 1 species